UGCCAGCCGCCGCGGUAAUACGGAGGGGACAAGCGUUAUUCGGAAUUAUUGGGCGUAAAGGGUGCGCAGGCUGCGUGUUAAGUGAGAAGUGAAAGCCCACGGCUCAACCGUGGAACGGCUUCUCAUACUGGCAUGCUAGAGUAUGGGAGAGGAAAGUGGAAUUUCCGGUGUAGCGGUGAAAUGCGUAGAGAUCGGAAGGAACACCAGUGGCGAAGGCGGCUUUCCGGACCAUAACUGACGCUGAGGCACGAAAGCGUGGGGAGCAAACAGGAUUAGAUA
rnacentral:rRNA from 1 species